ensembl:misc_RNA Y_RNA Y RNA
GGCUAGUUUCAAGGUAGUGAGUUAUGUCACUUGAUUGUUCAUGGUCAGUUACAGAUUGAACUGUUUGUUCUAUUCUUUUCCCCCUUCUCACUACUGUACGUGACUAAUACAAA